rnacentral:rRNA from 1 species
CUUGAACGCUGGCGGCAAGCCUAACACAUUCAAGUCGAACGAGUGGCGGACGGGUGAGUAAUGUCUGGGAAACUGCCUGAUGGAGGGGGAUAACUACUGGAAACGGUAGCUAAUACCGCAUACCAUCGGAUGUUCCCAGAUGGGAUUAGCUAGUAGGUGGGGUAAAGGCUCACCUAGGCGACGAUCCCUAGCUGGUCUGAGAGGAUGACCAGCCACACUGGAACUGAGACACGGUCAAGACUCCUACGGGAGGCAGCAGUGGGGAAUAUUGCACAAUGGGCGCAAGCCUGAUGCAGGCAUGCCGCGUGUAUGAAGAAGGCCUUCGGGUUGUAAAGUACUUUCAGCGGGGAGGCGUUACCCGCAGAAGAAGCAACGGCUAACUCCGUGCCAGCAGCCGCGGUAAUAC